GUCUAUGGCCAUGCUACCCUGAACAAGCCCGAUCCUGUCUGAUCUCGGAAGCUAAGCAGGGUCGGGCCUGGUUAGUACUUGGAUGAGAGACCACCUAGGAAGACCAGAUGCUGUAGGCG
rnacentral:rRNA from 1 species